rnacentral:rRNA from 1 species
UGGGGAAUAUUGCACAAUGGGCGCAAGCCUGAUGCAGCCAUGCCGCGUGUAUGAAGAAGGCCUUCGGGUUGUAAAGUACUUUCAGUCGGGAGGAAGGUGGUAAGGUUAAUAACCUUAUCAAUUGACGUUACCGACAGAAGAAGCACCGGCUAACUCCGUGCCAGCAGCCGCGGUAAUACGGAGGGUGCAAGCGUUAAUCGGAAUUACUGGGCGUAAAGCGCACGCAGGCGGUUGAUUGAGUCAGAUGUGAAAUCCCCGGGCUUAACCCGGGAAUUGCAUCUGAUACUGGUCAGCUAGAGUCUUGUAGAGGGGGGUAGAAUUCCAUGUGUAGCGGUGAAAUGCGUAGAGAUCCGGAGGAAUACCGGUGGCGAAGGCGGCCCCCUGGACGAAGACUGACGCUCAGGUGCGAAAGCGUGGGGAGCAAACAGG